GACGAACGCUGGCGGCGUGCUUAACACAUGCAAGUCGAACGGAAAGGCCCUGCUUUUGUGGGGUGCUCGAGUGGCGAACGUGUGAGUAACACGUGAGUAACCUGCCCUUGACUUUGGGAUAACUUCAGGAAACUGGGGCUAAUACCUGAUAUGAUCUCCUGCUGCAUGGUGGGGGUUGGAAUGUUUCGGCGGUUGGGGAUGGACUCGCGGCUUAUCAGCUUGUUGGUGGGGUAGUGGCUUACCAAGGCUUUGACGGGUAGCCGGCCUGAGAGGGUGACCGGCGACAUUGGGACUGAGAGACGGCACAGACUACAACGGGAGGCAGCAGUGGGGAAUAUUGCACAAUGGGCGGAAGCAUGAUGCAGAAACGCCGCGUGCGGGAUGACGGCCUUCGGGUUGUAAACAGAUUUCGCCUGUGACGAAGCGUGAGUGACGGUAAUGGGUAAAGAAGCACCGGCUAACUACGUG
rnacentral:rRNA from 1 species